UACAGAGGGUGCGAGCGUUGUCCGGAAUCACUGGGCGUAAAGGGCGCGUAGGUGGUUUGAUAAGGGUGUGGUGAAAGUCCGGAGCUCAACUCCGGAUCUGCCGUGCCGACUGUCAAACUCGAGGGCUGUAGAGGCAGACGGAAUUCCGGGUGUAGCGGUGGAAUGCGUAGAGAUCCGGAGGAAGACCGGUGGCGAAGGCGGUCUGCUGGGCAGUUUCUGACACUGAUGCGCGACAGCGUGGGGAGCAAACAGG
rnacentral:rRNA from 1 species